ACAAGCCAAGAUUCCAUACAAGACUCAGUCCUAGAACCGACUACGCUCUGAUACCAAUUUAUAACACCCCGUCCUGGCUACUAGGACUCCGACUACAAAACACAUGGAAAUACUACCUCGCCGGAGACUAAAAAUUCCGAUAAACUUCCGACGACGAUUCAACUUCCACGGAACUUCUCAAAACAGACCGAUUCCAGCUAACAACUUAACUAGAACAACCUACGCAGCGGAUUAAAAUCAACAACAAACAAAAUUAAGCUUAAAUUAAUCGUACCUUG
rnacentral:lncRNA from 1 species